AGCUGUAGGGGGAACUCAGGGCCCAGGGUGGGGGGCCCAGGCUGUGUGACCAGCUGCUGCCCCACAGGAAUGAUGAUCCAUCACCACUUCCACCCUUCCCUGCCCCUGGAAUGAGCGAGCCCAGCUGCCCACAGGCCCCAGGGCCUCUCCACUCAGGGGCACCAGGUGAUGGAGGUGAGAUGUUCCCUGGUACCUGUGGCCUCAACUGACACUCCCAGCAGCCACACCCUUCCUCAGGUGGAGCUUUGAACUGGCCCUCUGGUUCCCUCCCUUGUCAAUAAUAAAAAGCGAGGAGGACUGAGCUGAGGGCCCUCCAGUGUCUGAAGAUGGCUGUCCACAACCACCAGUAAAAC